rnacentral:rRNA from 1 species
UACGAAGGGUGCGAGCGUUGUUCGGAAUUACUGGGCGUAAAGGGUUUGUAGGCUGAAAUGUAAGUCAAGUGUGAAAUCCCCGAGCUAAACUGGACGUGCAUUUGAAACUGUGUUUCUUGAGUAUCGUAGAGGGUGGUGGAAUUGUAGGUGUAGGAGUGACAUCCGUAGAGAUCUGCAGGAACAUCAGAGGCGAAGGCGACCACCUGGCCGAUUACUGACGCUGAGGAACGAAAGCGUGGGGAGCAAACAGGG